UACGUAGGGGGCAAGCGUUGUCCGGAAUCAUUGGGCGUAAAGAGCGUGUAGGCGGCUCGAUAAGUCCGCUGUGAAAGUCCAGGGCUCAACCCUGGAAGGCCGGUGGAAACUGUCGGGCUCGAGUCCGGAAGAGGCGAGUGGAAUUCCUGGUGUAGCGGUGAAAUGCGCAGAUAUCAGGAGGAACACCAAUGGCGAAGGCAGCUCGCUGGGACGGUACUGACGCUGAGACGCGAAAGCGUGGGGAGCAAACAGG
rnacentral:rRNA from 1 species